rnacentral:rRNA from 1 species
AGAGUUUGAUCCUGGCUCAGAUUGAACGCUGGCGGCAUGCCUUACACAUGCAAGUCGAACGGCAGCACGGGUGCUUGCACCUGGUGGCGAGUGGCGAACGGGUGAGUAAUACAUCGGAACGUGCCCAGUCGUGGGGGAUAACGUAGCGAAAGUUACGCUAAUACCGCAUACGAUCUGUGGAUGAAAGCGGGGGACCGUAAGGCCUCGCGCGAUUGGAGCGGCCGAUGUUAGAUUAGGUAGUUGGUGGGGUAAAGGCUCACCAAGCCGACGAUCUAUAGCUGGUCUGAGAGGAUGAUCAGCCACACUGGGACUGAGACACGGCCCAGACUCCUACGGGAGGCAGCAGUGGGGAAUUUUGGACAAUGGGCGCAAGCCUGAUCCAGCCAUUCCGCGUGCAGGACGAAGGCCUUCGGGUUGUAAACUGCUUUUGUACAGAACGAAAAGCCUUGGGUUAAUACCCUGAGGUCAUGACGGUACUGUAAGAAUAAGCACCGGCUAACUACGUGCCAGCAGCCGCGGUAAU